CAGGUUUUUCUUCAAGUAUUAAUAAUCCUGACUGGGAACUAUAACUUCUUCAAUUUACUCACCAUCAUUCUCUGUCUGUCGCUUGUUGAUGACAAGCUUUUGGGAAUUAAGUCAAUUGAGUGUCAUGGAGAAUCCGGAUCGUCAGGUAUUAAAUUUAAUUUUGUAGAAAUCGUUUAAUUUAUCCCUGUUUCAUACGCCGUACAGUACUUCACAUGUGCCUAAAUCAAUUCAAGAAGUUAUAGGUACGGCUAAAGCACGGCGUCUGAAUCAAAUUAAGUUCUGCAACUUAAUUUGUUAGGAAAAAUAAUUAUACAGUACAACUGCAGUUUACGGACACCAGUGUGUCGCUGUCCAGCCGGUAAAUACACGUUUUGGCGGGAAAUAGCCCUAACCCCAAGUUAAAGGUUACCUUAUUCUAUACUUAUAUGUAGGGUAUUUUUCUUAUAAACCUGUCUAAUAAUUUGAGGGUAGUAGGAUGCGGGGGUUAAGAUAUCGUAGAUCUGGCAUGUACAUAUAUUAUUGUAUAGUGUAUACCAGGAAUAGAAAUGUUAUAUGAUGUUAAGUAGGUAAGGAAGCAGUUACAAAAUCCAAUGAAGAAAGGAAAAAUUGUGAAACAGCAAACAAAGCAGAGUCAAAGCCAUUAUUAGAGGGUAAACACCAAG